CCACUAGCCAAAUUGAUGGAUUUUGGCAGUGGUCGGCCUGCAAGGAGGCAGAUUCAAUCUCAUUUUGAGGCACUACAAUUGCAGGAAUGGGCAUCUGAGCAUUGUUCAGCACCUUUUCGAGCUCCUGAGUUGUGGGAUUGUCUAAGUAAUGCAGAUAUCGAUGAGAGAGCUGAUAUUUUGUCAUUAGGAUGCACUUUAUAUGCGAUAAUGCGAUAAUGUUUUUUACCAUGUGAUUUAAGAUUUAUUGGUUUAAGUUUUCGGGUCUUUGUCUCCUAAGAGCUAUAAUAUAAUUUGAUGACAAUGUUGAAUGUUUUAAACUAAUUUGUGGAUUGUUAAUACAAUGUUGAAUGCUUUUUACUUUUUGUUAUUUGAAAAUCAAGU